rnacentral:rRNA from 1 species
CCUACGGGCGACAGCAGUGAGGAAUAUUGGUCAAUGGACGCAAGUCUGAACCAGCCAUGCCGCGUGCAGGAUGACGGCUCUAUGAGUUGUAAACCGCUUUUGUACGAGGGUAAACCCCGAUACGUGUAUCGGGUUGAAAGUAUCGUACGAAUAAGGAUCGGCUAACUCCGUGCCAGCAGCCGCGGUAAUACGGAGGAUGCGAGCGUUAUCCGGAUUUAUUGGGUUUAAAGGGUGCGCAGGCGGCCUGUUAAGUCAGCGGUAAAAGCCCGGGGCUCAACCCCGGCGAGCCGUUGAAACUGGCGGGCUGGAGUUGGAGAGAAGUACGCGGAAUGCGCGGUGUAGCGGUGAAAUGCUUAGAUAUCGCGCAGAACCCCGAUUGCGAAGGCAGCGUACCGGCUCCACACUGACGCUGAGGCACGAAAGCGUGGGUAUCGAACAGGAUUAGAUACCCGAGUAGUC